rnacentral:sRNA from 1 species
CCUCGGGGCGUCUGUGCCUUCCUAAUUGGCUGUACCUCCUAUGGUUGGGAGACGGGUGUCUCCCAUAUAUGUGCGACUUGGCAGCUGUGACUUUGCUGGUGGCCCUGUGACUGUGCUGAUGAGCUGCUGUCUGUCGGCCCCAGGGUGCUGAUCACCCCACCUUGUGUGUGCGCACUGUGUGUAUAGUGUCUCCGUUGCAUGCCUGUGGCUGUACUGUCCGAAUUAUUUGGUGGGAUUUUCUGGUGGCGAAUGUGAGAGUGGAGACGUGCACUUGUCGCCUACCAUGCAAGUGGGACCUGGGCACUGUUCCUGUCGUGUGUCCCAUGCCUGCCGUUGCUGUGGAUGUGAGGCUGCUGUCCCUGUUGCCCUCCUGCCCUCUCUGGAGUGGGGUUGGGGCUCCUCCUCCUCCACCAGUGUCGCCGGCUGGGAGCUCAAAUGGUGUCAACUUCUCAGGUGUCACCUUGGUGUCCUCGUGGCCAACUGGCUGCCUGUGGCUUGGCACAUAGUGCCUGCGCUGGGUCAGCACUGAAGCCUGAGCUUCCUGGGGCGGCUCUGUCCCCACGCCCGCCAGAGUGAGGUUGAACUCGACUGUCUUUUGAUCCCCAGAGCUAGAGCCAGUGCAGGCCACGCAGAACAAGACAGGGAAGUACGUGCCGCCGAGCCUGCGUGACGGGGCCAGCCGCCGCGGGGAGUCCAUGCAGCCCAACCGCAGAGCCGACGACAACGCCACCAUCCGUGUCACCAACUUGUCAGAGGACACGCGUGAGACCGACCUGCAGGAGCUCUUCCGGCCUUUCGGCUCCAUCUCCCGCAUCUACCUGGCUAAGGACAAGACCACUGGCCAGUCCAAGGGCUUCGCCUUCAUCAGCUUCCACCGCCGCGAGGAUGCCGCACGUGCCAUUGCCGGGGUGUCCGGCUUUGGCUACGAUCACCUUAUCCUCAACGUCGAGUGGGCCAAGCCGUCCACCAACUAAGCCAGCUGCCACUGCGUGCUCAGCCCAGGACCCUUGGUGACAGAAGGCAGCC